CGCGUAGGCGGCAUGCCAAGCGUGUGGUGAAAGCCCGGGGCUCAACCCGGGUCGGCCGUGCGGACUGGCGUGCUCGAGCACUGUAGGGGCGGGUGGAAUUCCGGGUGUAGCGGUGGAAUGCGUAGAGAUCCGGAAGAACACCGGUGGCGAAGGCGGCCCGCUGGGCAGGAAGACGGAGCAAUCCGUCGGCUGACGCUGAGGCGCGACAGCGUGGGGAGCAAACA
rnacentral:rRNA from 1 species